rnacentral:rRNA from 1 species
UAGUGAUCCGGCGGUGGCUUGUGGAAGCGCCGUCGCUCAACGGAUAAAAGGUACCCCGGGGAUAACAGGCUGAUCUUCCCCAAGAGUCCAUAUCGACGGGAUGGUUUGGCACCUCGAUGUCGGCUCGUCGCAUCCUGGGGCUGGAGUCGGUCCCAAGGGUUGGGCUGUUCGCCCAUUAAAGCGGUACGCGAGCUGGGUUUAGAACGUCGUGAGACAGUUCGGUCCCUAUCCGCUGUGCGCGUAGGAGUCUUGAGAAGGGCUGUCCCUAGUACGAGAGGACCGGGACGGACGAACCUCUGGUGUGCCAGUUGUUCUGCCAAGGGCAUGGCUGGUUGGCUACGUUCGGGAGGGAUAACCGCUGAAAGCAUCUAAGCGGGAAGCCUGCUUCGAGAUGAGGACUCCCACCCCCUUGAGGGGUUAAGGCUCCCAGUAGACGACUGGGUUGAUAGGCCGGAUCUGGAAGCACCGUGAGGUGUGGAGGUGACCGGUACUAAUAGGCCGAGGGCUUGUCCUCAGUUG